UAUAAAUAUAUAUAUAUAUAUACAUAUUAUAUAUAUUCUUAUGGUAGGUAUUCUUAUACCGUAACGUUUAAAUAUUUUAAUAGAUUAUAAGACUUCUAGAGGCAGAUUUGUUAUGCCUCGCAUUGGUCCGCGUUUGUUUCUUUAUACGACUCAGAAACGGAAAACUACCACGCGAGUGCCAAUUGAUCGCAGCAUGCCAAUUUCUAGCUAUUAAAGUUAUGUCUACUAAUAAUGAACGUGAAAUUGGAUCUUUUUUCGAUAUAUUUUCUUGCUGCAUUUUAUAUCCUAUAUGUAUAACUUAAAAAAGUAUUAGCGUACACAACGUACAAACGUUACGCAUUUAUUUUAUAAAUGACUACUUCCAUCAUUAACAAACAUUCCCUUUUUACUAACUAAUGAAACAUACAUUCUUUCAUUUCUCUUUCAUCAUUUUCACUUGUUUACUAACUUUUCGAUGAUGAGUAUUAUUGUUAUGAAAAUGGAAUCAUUCCUUCGCUACUCGUUAUAAUAAAAAAAAAAAAAUUAUUAUAUAAACAAAAUUGAAACUAAGGUUCGAUGAAACGGUUUGUGGUAACUUAUGUCCUGUUACUGUUCUCAGGCUUAUUUGCCAAAGAGAAUGUUCUUCGUUAGUGAUAUAAAAGUGUUGUUCGAUCAAUUCAUUCCAGACAGAUGAAUGAAUGGACUUAUUCGUGGAUAAGCGAAUCCCAAUUUGUAAAUAUUAUGACAAAUCCUUGAAAAAUUUUCGAAAAGCCAAAUAUUUAUCGGUAUUUAUUUUACUCCAGGUAAUCGAAACUCGUUGAAAUGUUUUGGCAACAUCUUUCUGGAAUAUGAGUGAAACAGUCGAUCAACCUGGUUUAAAUAUUAUCAAGUGGCUGUUAACGGAAAUGUUGACUGUAGCUACUAACUGUUGAUUGAUCGGCGUUACACUGCAUCAGAUAAUUAUUAUUGAUAGGAUAAGACAAAGAAACUUAAGUAAUAUUAGCAACUAUCUCUUCUCAAUCAAUCGUGGUGACAAUAGACUGUAAAGGUAUGAUUGUAUCAGGCGCAAUGUCUAGAAUACUACAAGUGUACAAGUGUAAUUCAAUGUUGGAUAAUUUUGGUCAUGCAGGUUUAUACGGAGUGUUAAUACAACUAAUAAUUGUUAGCUGGUAGCAACGUAGUUGAGUUUAGAACUAUGACGUUUAAUAUCAUGACAAUGGCUAUGCAAUAUCAGGGUGUUCAGUGAUCGGGAAAGUUUGAAUUCCCUCAGAAUUCCAGGUUUAACAGAUCAUAACUUUGACCCAUUUCCAGAUUAAAGAAUCGUGUUUCAUAGUCAUUACCCAAGUGAAAUAAACUUUUCUUUUCUUUCGACCAAAAAAAUUUCAUGCACGCUGUAUUAUACGUUCUUACAGUAAAAUACCCUUGGUAUAUUCGAAUUCUGAUAUGGUACAAAGCAGGAAAUGUAAAAAGGUAUUGACGGUAAAGAUUCACUAAAAACAAGACCAAUGUUACGUGAAAAAGAUUCCGCUAAAUUAAAUGUUGUCGAGUUCCAUAAAUUACAUUUGUAAUUAAUGAAACAAUUGGACCGAUAAAUAUAAAAAAACCUAAGAAUUUGCUGUUUUUUGAAGUCUAACGUAGAAACUAACAAAAACGAAACAAAACACCGAAUGAAGUAUCUAUUCUACCGUUUUGACAAAACGAAUGGUAGAUUAAAUGAAGAAAAAGUAAGAAAAUACAGAAAUCAUGAGCAAUUUCCAAGACAACUAACGCACAAGUAAUAUAAAUUUCUUCCGAAAUUCGACAAGUCCAGUCAGUUUCAGUUAUUUUAAAAAAUAUUCUGAUGUUGUUCUGUAAAAUCGAAGCCUGAGAGAUUUUCAAUUUCCGCAUGUUUUCAAACCUGCUCAACAUCCUGAAUUUAUAUGCAUACCGAGACUGGGGCUUAGCCAUUUCAGUUGAUCAAGAAUAUCUAAACCGAAAAAUCCUUCACAGAGUUAGCAUUCACAAUUGAUUUACACUGAUCCAUGAAGCAACCAAAGUGCAAUAAAUAUUGCUUAUGGAGUGAGAAUUCAUACAAUCAACAA